rnacentral:misc_RNA from 1 species
GGGAAAUAAUCACUAGAGGCGCCUUUUGGUGGAAUGGCCUGGAGAGUUGGAAGAACUCCAGGGUUAAACGUGCUCGUUUGAGAGAAAUCCUAGGAUGGGUGACCUCCUGGGAAGUUCUCCAUUCCACCUAUGGGACAAAACCGCGACGCUUAUGGCCAAAGCGGACAAUUCCUCUAGUGGCUGGUUUCCGACCGUUACAAUUGGUAUCAGAGCCG